rnacentral:sRNA from 1 species
AAAAUGUUUACAGUAAUUGCAUACUUACGCCAUGUUUGAGCCAACAAAAAUAAUGCCUGUUUAGGAGAGUGAUAUAAAACAACAACAACUAAAAUCAGACCUGCUCAAGAAUGUGUACUUAAAAUUCCCCGGAUUAAAUUCUUAUCAAAAUGGUGUUUCAUGUGUAAUAUAAGUUUCCUUUCACCUUUACGCAAGGGUACUUUUCUCAAUAUGCUGAUACCGAUCCUUUCAUUUUGGAGUUCCGAACGAAAAUGAAUGAAAACGGACUAAACAAUAAGUGAACGCCGAACGAACGGUGAACGUAAGGUGAACGCUUUGUGUACGCACAGUGAAAGCACGCUGAGCGUUUUGUGAACGGUAAGCGCAAACGGAGCGGAACGGAGAUCGCAAAUGAACGCACGGUGUACGCACUGUGAGCGCACAGUGAACGCACUGUGAGCGCACGGUAAACGCACGGAAAAAUGGGACAGUAAAACGUUCCAGGGACUGUACCAAAUAAAAAAUGAUUAAUUUUUUAUUUACAUAAUUUUCAUCUUACAAACCCGACCUUUGCCAAAAAUAGUACGUCAUAUGUCACAACAAUUGUUCAAGUAAUGCCAACUGUUAAACACCUGUAAAAUGGUUACUAUAUAACUCUAUACGAAAAAAAGUCCAGCAUUUUGACUCUUGGUCUGGAUCUGUUGAUUGGAACUGUUAAAAUCGACUGUUAAAAAUGACUGUUGACCAGUGACGCGAAAAAAAGUUAUUGAGUAGUAAGGCUAUAACAAAACAGUUGUUGACUAUAUAUCUCGGGCAACAGUUAAUCAGUCAGACUGGCUCGCAAACUGUUGCCCGUGACCUCUAACAACUGUAAACUGUCUUACUACACGACAGUAAACAGUCAUAUGAUGUUGAUGAACAUGCCAAUAUUAGACUAGAUGCCAGUGACGUCAUGAAUAAACAUUGGGAUUGGAAUUCAAUUUGUAAUUUUAUAACAACAAAGAUAAUGGAGAUUAAAAUUUAAGUAAAAUGCAAUAAUUUUUUUACCUUGAGGAUCUGUAAAUAAUUGAAUGUGGCAUGCUGAAAAGCAGAAUGAAUCAUGAUAGAUAAAUUAUUUCCAU